UACAGAGGUCUCAAGCGUUGUUCGGAUUCAUUGGGCGUAAAGGGUGCGUAGGUGGCGAGGCAAGUCUGGUGUGAAAUCCCGGGGCUCAACCCCGGAACUGCACUGGAUACUGCUUUGCUAGAGUACUGGAGAGGAGAUUGGAAUUUACGGUGUAGCAGUGAAAUGCGUAGAGAUCAAGAGGAACACUCGUGGCGAAAGCGAGCUACUGGACAAUUCCUGACGCUGAGGCUCGAAGGCUAGGGUAGCGAAAGGG
rnacentral:rRNA from 1 species